rnacentral:tRNA from 1 species
AGGCGAGUGGCUCAGUUGGUAGAGCGGCGGUCUCCAAAACCGCGGGUCGGGGGUUCGAGUCCCUCCUCGCCUG